rnacentral:rRNA from 1 species
UACGGAGGGUGCGAGCGUUGUCCGGAAUCAUUGGGCGUAAAGGGCGCGUAGGUGGCCCGGUCAGCGUGCGGUGAAAGCUCGGGGCUCAACCCCGAGUCGGCCGUGCGAACUGCUGGGCUUGAGCACUGUAGAGGCAGGCGGAAUUCCGGGUGUAGCGGUGGAAUGCGUAGAGAUCCGGAGGAACACCAAUAGCGAAGGCAAGCUCGCUGGGACGGUACGUGACGCUAAGGCGCGAAAGCGUGGGGGAGCGAACAGG